UCUGUUGGUCCACGGCUCUAAGAGGAGAGGGGGAGAGAGACAGAAGGGGGGGAGGUAGAGAGAGACUACGUGUGAACACAGGAGGUUGCCAGUUUUUAACCCAGACUCACAUCUACGAGAAAGUGGUUGGUACUGCUUGAGUUCAGUUGAUCUGAGCAUCAGACCAUCUGAUUGUUCAUAUCCCCCUGUUCUGAAGCUGCUCUACUUUAGUGAGGAUGGAGAAUGCGCAUGCCAAAGAGUCACAGGAGGUUCUGUCCUAUUUCUCUGUCACUGAGGACACGGGUCUCUCACCUGACCAGGUUAAGAAGAACCUGGACAAGUAUGGCUACAAUGAGCUGCCAGCAGAGGAGGGAAAAAGCAUCUGGGAGUUGGUUGUGGAACAGUUUGAGGACCUGUUGGUCAGAAUCCUGCUACUAGCAGCCUGCAUCUCUUUUGU